GCCUUGGCCUCCCACAGCGCUGGGAUUAUAGGCGUGAGCUACUGCACCCAGCCGACCAAAAGUUUUAAACUUUUUCAUUAAUGUAUUUUACUAAUCACUUAAAGGUGUAUUCUUUAUGAUAGCAUCCGAGACCAUAAGUGAAAAUCUACACAUGGUUAUCAGAAUAUUUCAAAGCUUUUGUUUAAAACAUUUUUCUGUUUUCCAGGGCUAAUGUCAAAAUUUGAUGUGACUCUGCAAGAAAAUGCUUACCAUCUGUGGUUGGUAUUUUUCUUCUGCUCCAGCCAUUAAUAUAUAUUUUUACAUACAAAAGUUGUUUCCAGUAAUAAAAAAUCUGUCUGAGGUAAGGUUAUAUUAAUAUUUGUACUCCUGCAAAGCUAUUUUUGUAGUGUAAAUUUCAAAUUUAAUACAGCUUAUCCACCAUAGAAGAGGCUAACAUCAAGUGCUCAGCAAUUUAUACCACUGCUUAAAAGUUAACUUUCUUUCACUUUGAAAAUAUCACUAAUUUGGCCAGGUGCGGUGGCGUAUGCCUGUAAUCCCAGCAUUUUGGGAGGCCGAGGUGAGUAGAUUGCUUGAGGCCAGGAGUUUGAGACCAGCCUGGCCAACAUGGUGAAACCCCAUCUCUACUAAAAAUACAAAAAUUAGCCAGGUGUGGUGGCAGGCACCUGUAAUCCCAGCUACUCUGGAGGCUGAGGCAGGAGAAUCGCUUGAACCUGGGAGGCGGAGGCUGCAGUGAGCCAAGACUGUACCACUGCACUCCAGCCUGGAUAACAGAGUGAGACUUCAUCACACACACACACACACACACACACAAAGAAAGAAAUGAAAAUGAAAAGACCUUACUGUAGUCUUUUUGUGUGUGUGUGUGUGACAGUCUCGGUGUGUCACCCAGGCUGGAGUGCAGGGGCGAGAUCUCGGCUCCCUGCAACUUCCGAUUCCCAGGUUCAAGCAAUUCUCCUGCUUCAGCCUCCCAAGUAGCUGGGACUACAGGCGCCCACCACCACACCUGGCUAAUUUUUUGUGUUUUUAGUAGAGACGGGGUUUCACUAUGUUGGCCAGGCUGGUCUUGAACUCCUGACCUCAUGAUCUGCCCGCCUCGGCCUCCCAAAGUGCUGGGAUUACAGGUGUGAGCCACUGUGACUGGCCUGUAGUCUUAAAGUGGCUUUCUCAGCUGCCAACUCUAGGACCUCUCAACUCAGCUCCUCGUGUCUAGUUCAAUCUCCCAGUGUCCCCAUCUCAUGUUUUAAGGAGAGAAAAUUUCAUUGGCUUUUUGGUCAGCCACACACGUUUGGCUCCGUCAGUGGAGGCCAAGCUCCCUUAGUACAAACACAGCUACCUGGGCUUAUACCUGCUGUAAGGCAGUGGUUCUCAAGGUGGGUUCUCUGCACCAGUAGCAUUAGAAAUGUACAUUCAUGGGCCCCACCCCAACCUACAGAAUCAGCAUCUCCAGGGAUGGAGCCUGGGACGCUGUAUUAGAGCUACAGACGAGGGCAGAUUUCCUCAGGAAGAGAUGCGUGUAGGGACUACCUUCUUACCACCCUGAGAAGGCAGAAGGCAACUGGCAUGGGGGAGCCCAGAUCUGCAGAGACACAGGUAGGAAAUGUGACCCUAGCUUCUGUGAUUGGGUGAUUGAUUGGAUGAUUUCAUCACCUUGAUUUUGGACUUCUACCCUUCACUGCAUCUGGCCCAGGUCUUUUCCAGUAGAUAAAUAAAUGGUGAACUGAAGGCCAGGCAUGGUGGCUCACGCCUGUAAUCCCAGCACUUUGGCAGGUGAGGCAGGAGGACCAGUUGAUGCCACAAGUUCGAGACCAAUCAGGGCAACAUCACAGGACCCUGUCUCAAAAAAAAAAAAAAAAAAAAAAAAAGGAAAUGAAUUCAUAGAAAGAGACUGACAAAGCAGACAAACAGAGAGAAGCUAAGAAACUUCUCAACCCUCGAAAGGGAGACAAAGAGAGUGAUUGACAGAUUCCCUGCCAGUUCUCCUGGCUCAGGUGUACUUCUCACACUCCAUUUCCAAGAGGUCCCCCAGUGAAUAACCACCCUGUCCCUUACUUAAGCAAGUUUAAGUGGGCCCCUGUUCCUUGCAUUUACUUUGUCUCCACUUGAAACCCCUUUUCCUUUUCAGAUCUGUCCUAAGCUCAUCCUCAGAGAUCCUUGAUUGUCUGUCUUGCUCCUGCCCAUGUUUUCCCCAGAACUGGACUCUCACCUGGAACCCAGCCCACGGCUUGGAUCCCACCACCCAGCUGCCACGCUUCUACAAUCUAGAGCGGCGUAAUACAUAUGGCUAGUGCGCACUUGAAACCUGGCUAGUGAUGGGCUGCAAGUGUAAAAUACACAGUGGAUUUCAAAGACUCAGUAUGGAGAAAAAAGCAAAAUAUCUUAUUAAUAUUUUUUAUAUUGAUGACACGUUAAAAUAAUAUUUUGGAUAUACCUACAUUGGGUUAAAUAAAAUAUAAUAUUGGCCAGGCACAGUGGCUCACACCUGUAAUCCCAGCACUUUGGGAGGCCUAGGGUGGAUCACCUGAGGUUCGGAGUUCAAGACUAGCCUGGCCAACAUGGUGAAAUCCUGUCUCUACUAAAAAUACAAAAAAUUAGCCAGGUGUGGUGGUGGAUGCCUGUAGUCCCAGCUACUCGGGAGGCUGAAGCAUGAGAAUCACUUGGACCUUAGAGGUGGAGGUUGCAGUGAGUCGAGAUCUUGCCACUGCACUCCAGCCUGGGUGACAGAGUGCAGAGCAAGACUCUGUCUGAAAAAAAAAAAAAAAAAAAAAAAAAAAUAUAUAUAUAUAUAUAUAUAUAUAUAGUAUAUAUACAGUAUAUAUAGUAUAUAUACUGUAUAUAUACUAUAUAUAUAGUAUAUAUACUGUACAUAUACUAUAUAUAUAGUAUAUAUAGUGUAUAUACACUGUAUAUGUAUACACUGUAUAUAUAUACACUGUAUAUGUAUACACUAUAUAUACUGUAUAUAUAGUGUAUAUAUAUAUACUAUAUGUAGUAAUUGAAGCUCAUUUCAUCUAGAAAAUUUGAAAUUACAAAUAUGGCUCUCAUUGUAUGUCUUUUGGACUGUGGUGACCUAGAGGUAAUGACUAUUCACGUAUGUACCUCCAGAAUAUUUGACAUAAGCUGGAUUUGCCACUGGCUAGCUCUGCACUCCGCCCAACAUCGGACUUUGCCUACCUCACCCCUCAGGCCUUACCUUACCCACCCAGCUCUCUAAUUAAUUUCUAUGGCGAGGUCAGUUCAACAGCAACUAUCUCACCCUGGUGAGAAUGAAACAAUCUAGUGUUAAGAUUUUCUUUCAGCCCCUACCACACCUACCUGGUUUUGCCUUACAUUGACCAUCGUUCCUGUGCCUAAGUCUUAAAACUAGACAGAGAUUGUACAGCAGAUUCAUGUGUGCAGUAGAGAGGUGGGCUAGAUGACCUCUGUUAUGGGUUAAAUUGUGACCUCCAAAAAGAUAUGUGGAAGUCCUAAUCCCUGGUACCUGUGAAUGUGACAUUAUUUGGAAAUGGGCCCUUUGGAGAUGUAAUCAAGUUGAGAUGAGGCUUUAGAGUGAGUCCUAAUUCAAUAUGACUGCAUUCUUUUUCGUUGUUUUUUUGACAGAGUCUCACCCCAUUGUCCAGGCUGGAGUGCAGUGGUGCAAUCUUGGCUCAUUGCAACCUCCGCCUCCUGGGUUCAAGCAAUUCUCCUGCCACAGCCUCCCAAGUAGCUGGGAUUACAGGUGCCCACCACCACACCCAGCUAAUUUUUGUAUUUUUGGUAGAGACAGGGUUUCACCAUGUUGGCCAGGCUGGUCUCAAACUCCUGGCCUCAAGUGAUCUGCCUGCCUUGGCCUCCCAAAGUGUUGGGAUUACAGGCGUGAGCCACCGUGCCUGGCCCUGUGUCGUUUUAAGAAGAGAAACAUUCCAUGUGAAGACAGAGACACACAGGAGGAAUGCCAUGUAAUGACAGAGGCAGAGAUUGGAGUGAAGCAGCUGCAAACUGAAUAUUAAGGAUUGCCAGCCACCACCAGAAGCCAGGAAGAGGCAACCUAAGAUUCUACCCAAAGUCUCAGAGGGAGCGUGGCCCUGCUGACACCUUGAUUUUGGACUUCUAUCCUUCAGAACUGUAUUGUUUUGUGUUUUAAACCACCCAAUUUGUGGUACUUUGUCUCAGGAGCCCUGGGAAAUGAAUACUUCUAAGUCUCUUCCAUACUUUAUCACAUACGAUACAGAUAACAAAACACAUUCUGCAACAGGUUUUCAUUUUUUGUUGCAUUUAUAAUGCUGCACUUUUUUAAAAAUAGAAAAUCAUGUAAAUCUAGACCAUUUUAUGCACCCAUUUUAAGUAUACACACUAGUCUGUUAUAUUGUGAAUUCUGAGAUAAAAGAGAAUGUAAUUUGAAGAGAUUGCAUAUUUUCCAAAGCCAAUUUGGUGAUUUAAGCAUGGAAGUAUUACAAUUAAAUGUUUGAAAAGUUAUCUAUGCAUGUUUUGCUGUAAGACGAUAGCAUGAAGCAACACAUCUUUUCAGGAUGAGGUAGCAGCUCCAGCCCCGGGGGAAGGGAGCCGGGGCAUCACUCGACUGCAACUACUUUGGACGACUGAGCAACAUGAACAGGCUCAAAAAAAAAGUCAUAUCCAAUCAUCCUCAAAAUACGAACUGUAGUAGCUACAACACAAUUCUCUAAGGGCGAGAUGGGCGGAGAAGUGGAAAUAUUUGUACGAUGCAGUCUUUAUGGGUAAUGCAGAGAAUAUGGGCCAGAAUGAGAUCAACAUGACUCAUAAGCCUGUGGGUCAAUGUCAAACCAUUGCUUAAAAUUCCUCAAUGGCUGCUCAUUGCCCUCAGGACCCAGUCCAGAGAGCUUUGUGUGGCAUUUCCAGCAUUGCCGGGCCCCUGCCCACCUCCAGCCUUAUUUCCUCCUUCUCUGCCCUGCCUGUACCAAAGAACUCAAGACUCUCAUCUUUCAGGUUCCUUUUGUCUCAUGGAGCUCAGUUUCUCCUCUCACCUUCAGUCAGUAAGUAGGCACCUGCUUUCCCAUCUGUCUGGCCUAUCCAAACAGGAAAGCAUAUAAUAUGAGUAUUUUACAUCGUGUAAUUGACUACUUGAUCGAUUCAUAAAUUAUAUUGUGGUGUGAAUGUGUCUGAUAAUAUAUUACUUAGAGUUUUGUCAUUUUCGUUAAUUUUUUUUUUUUUUUUUUUUUUGAGACAGAGUGUCACUGUGUUGCCCAGGAUGGAGUGGAGUGGUGCAAUCUUGGCUCACUGCAACCUCUGCCUCCUGGGCUCAAGGGAUUCUCCUGCCUCAGCCUCCCAAGUAGCUGGGAUUACAGGUACCUGCCACCAUGCCUGGCUGAUUUUUGUGUGUGUUUUUUUUUUUUAGUUGAGUCAGGGUUUCACUAUAUUGGCCAGGCUGGUCUCAAACUCUUGACCUCAGGUGAUCCACCCACCUCAGCCUCCCAAAGUGCUGUGAUUACAGGCAUGAGCCACCGUGCCUGGCCUCAUUCAUUUUAAUUAAUGAUAUAAUUUUAAAUGGGAGAACCACCAGAGAUCAUCUACCAUGUUCACCUCCCUCUGGAUGAAGAAAAUUAGGCUAUUUUUUUUUUAACAUCUUAAAAGACAGUCAGGGCCGGAGCCGGGCGUGGUGGUGGGCAACCGGAAGUCCCAGCUACUCGGGAGGCUGAGGCACGAGAAUGGCAUGAACCCGGGAGGCGGAGCUUGCGGUGAGCAGAGAUAGUGCCACUGCACUCCAACCUGGGCGACAAAGCAAGACUCUGUCUCAUUAAAAAAAAAAAAAAAAAAAAAAAAAAAAAAAAAAAAAGACAGGGCCAGGUGCGGUGGCUCUCGCCUGUAAUCCCAGCAUUUUGGAAGGCCGAGGCAGGUGGAUCACCUGAGGUCAGGAGUUCAAGACCACCCUGGCCAAAAUGGGGAAAACCCAUCUCUACUAAAAAUACAAAAAUUAGCCAGGCAUGGUGAUGUAUGCCUGUAAUCCCAGCUACUGGGGAGGCUGAGGCAGGAGAAUUGCUUAAACCUGAAAGGUGGAGGUUGCAGUGAGCCAAGAUCGUGCCACUGCACUUUGGCCUGGGCAACAGAGUAACACUCCAUCUCAAGAAAAAAAAAAAAAAGCCGGGCGCGGUGGCUCAUGCCUGUAAUCCCAGCACUUUGGGAGGCCGAGAUGGGCAGAUCACGAGAUCAGGAGAUCGAGACCAUCCUGGCUAACACAGUGAAACCCCGUCUCUACUAAAAAUACCAAAAAAAAAAAAAAAAUUAGCCAGGCAUGGUGGCGGGCGCCUGUAGUUCCAGCUACUCGGGAGGCUGAGGCAGGAGAAUGGCGUGAACCCGGGAGGUGGAGCUUGCAGUGAGCCGAGAUCGUGCCACUGCAUUCCAGCCUGGGUGACACAGCGAGACUCCAUCUCAAAAAAACAAAAACAAAAACAAAAAAACAGUCAGGGCCGGGCAUGGUGGCUCAUGCCUGUAAUCCCAGCACUUUGGGAAGCUGAGACGUGUGGUCAGGAGUUUGAGACCAGCCUGGCUGAAAUGGAGAAACCCCGUCUCUACUAAAAAUACAAAAAUUAGCUGGGAAUGUUGGUGGGUGCCUGUAAUCCCAACUACUCUGGAGGCUGAGGCACGAGAAUCACUUGCACCUGGGAGGUGAAGGUUGCAGUGAGCAGAGAUCGUGCCACUGCACUCCAGCCUGGGUGACAGAGUGAGACUCUGUCUCAAAAAAAAAAAAAAGAAAAGAAAAGACACUCAGAAGCCUCUUAGAGUGUGUAUAAUUGUGAUAAUCACAGACUCUGACAACAAAGUCAAUUAUUGGAAUACAUCCUCUUCAUUAGUAGGGUCUUUAAGGUAGCACCCCCCACCAAAUUCCAGAUAAAAACUUCAGGCCUCCCCUGAGGUAAGGCUGGACUUCCCCAGGGCUUCUAUCAUGGGAGGCUCAUCCCAAUAAGACCAAUGGCAUGGAGGAAGUAAAGAAAAGACAAAGUGCUCUGUAAGCAACUGGGUACCAAGAGAAACUCUAAAAUCCACAGUGGGGAAAGUUGUUCUAUCUUUCCAAGGCCUGAGUGAACUAAGGGGCGGUGAGAGGUCAGAAGUAUUCCAUUAAUUAAUAUCCUUGCACAUGUAAGGAAACUUCAGGAGUUGAGUAAGAAGCAAACUUCCCCCUGCUGUUCACUAACGGCCGAAUCAAUGAAUGUCAAGAUCAUUACAAAGCAAUGUCAUUUCAUAUUUUCCAAAUGACAGAGGAGAAUAUUUAAUUGCAUCCAUUAUCUGGGAAAGCUGAUACUGUUAACUGUGGAGAAAUUUAUGAAGCAAGAAGGGCCCUUUACCUACAGAGGUGCAUAAACACACUCGGACUAGAAUUUCUAGAUUUCUAAGUAAUUGUUUUUGGUAUUAGACCCCCCAGUGGCCAUUCCUUUAUUAAAACUUGUCAUUGUGUGUUUAAAAUCCUAUCCACUGAGUUGGUUUCAACCUUACUGGAAAGGAAUUUAUAAAUAAAUAUCAAAGCACAUGGUAAGGUUACAUUCCUAGGAAUCUAUUCUAAGGAAAUCAUCAGAGGUCUGCCCAAAGACACUGAUAUGGUUUGGCUCUGUGUCCUCAACUAAAUCUCGUCGCGAAUUGUAAUCCCCACGUGUGGAGGGAGAGAGGUGAUUGGAUCAUGGGGGCUAUUUUCCCCAUGCUGUUCUCAUGGUAGUGAGUGAAUUCGCAUGAGAUCUGAUGGUUUUAUAAAUGGCAGUUUUUCCUGCACUUACACUCUCUCCCGCCAUCUUGUGAAGAAGGUGCCUGCUUCCCCUUCCGCCAUAACUGUAACUUUCCUGAGGCCUCCACAGCCAUGCAGACCUGUGAGUCAGUUAAACUUCCUUUGUUUAUAAAUUACCCACUCUCGGAUACUAUCUUUAUAGCAGUGUGAGAACAGACUAAUACAGACAUAUGCAAGGAUAUUCAUCCAAUACUGUUUACAAGGACAACAAAGUGAAAGCAAUUUAAAUGCACAAAAGGAGAUUGGUUUUAAAAUAUAUGGUAUACUUGUAUAAAAAACUGUUUUUUUUUUUUGAGACGGAGUUUCGCUCUUGUUGCCCAGGCUGGAGUGCAAUGGCGUGAUCUUGGCUCACUGCAGCCUCCGCCCCCGCCCCCCGGGGUUCAAGCGAUUCUCCUGCCUCAGCCUCCUGAGUAGCUGGGAUUAUAGGUGCGUGCCAAAACAUCCAGCUAAUUUUUGUACAUUUAGUAGAGAUGGGUUUUCACCAUGUUGGCCAAGGUGGUCUCGAACUCCUGACUUCAGGUGAUCCACCCACCUCGGCCUCCCAAAUGGCUAGGAUUACAGGUGUGAGCCACUGUGCCCGGCCUGAAAAACUAUUAUGUAAUCAUUGAAAAUAAUGUUCCCAAAGACAUUUUUUCUUCAUAUAUGUGUGUGUGUAUAUUUUAUAUAUAUAUAUAUAUAUAUAGUUUGUUUGUUUUUUAAUAGAAACAAGAUCUCACUCCAUCAUCCAGGCUGGACAACACUGGCAUGGUCACAGGUCACUGUAACCUCGAACUCCUGGGCUCACAGAAUCCUUCUGCCUCAGCCUCCCAAGUAGCUAGGGCUCCCAGCAUGUGCCACCAGGCCCAGCUAAUUUUAUUACUUUUAAAAUUUUCUUUCUCACUAUGUUGCCCAGGCUGGUCUCAAACUCCUGGCUGCAAGUGAUCCUCCCACCUCAACCUCCCAAAGUGCUAGGAUUACAGGCAUGAGUCACUGCACCCGGCCUUUCAGAUAUUUUUAUAUGAAAAAAAUAAGAAGAGAAUUCCCCUCCCUCUGUCUCUUCCUAGGCUCCCUAGAGAAAAGAACUACCACAAAUUUGGCAUGUACUCUUUCUGCGCAGGUUUUCAUACUUCAUUCAUUUAGUGACAUAAGGGAAUGUUAAUAAUAUACAUAUAUAAAUUUUUAAAAAGCAGAGAACUAAAAUAUAUGUGAGGAAUGAUCCCAACCCCAAUUUUAAAACAAAUAUACCCAUACAUUUAUUAAUUCAAAAUGAUGUUUAUUAAGAAUCUACUAGGAGCACUGGGCCCCACGGUGGGAUUUCCAGGCCCUGCCAUGGGAGACGCAUGGGGACUGACAGGUUCCCAGAUCCAUAUCCUGGCAGAUGUCUCUGGCUCAGUGUCCCCCAUUGGCUGCCUGCCACCUUCAAGGGAGCUCUGGGAAUGGAAGUCCCCUCUCAUGUACCACCACCCUCCCCAGGCUGGCCUUUGAGAGGUGACCCCAGGGGAACCACGUUGAGGCUGCUUUCAAAUCCUCCAGCGAGAGUUCCACCAAAUGGCCUGGGUGGACCAGAUGAGAUGAGACUGGACCAUCCCCGACCGUGCUCUUCUUGCUGGGGGUGGAGGUGGGGUGGGUUGAUGGACAGGGUAGACAGGCAGCCCCAGCAUUAUAAAACUGAGAUGCGACUGGGUGCGAUGGCUCACGCCUAUAAUCCCAGUACUUUGGGAGGCUGAGGCGGGCAGAUCACGAGGUCAAGAGAUCGAGACCAGGCUGGCCAACAUGGUGAAACCCUGUGUCUACUAAAAAUACAAAAACCAGCUGGGCGUGGUGGCGGGCACCUGUAAUCCCACCUACUUGUGAGGCCGAGGCAGGAGAAUCGCUUGAACCCAGGAGGCAGAGGUUGCAAUGAGCUGAGAUUGCACCACUGCGCUCCAACCUGGUGACAGAGCGAGACUCUGUCUCAAAUAAAAAACAAAAACAAAAAAAAACUGAGAUGCAUUCCUAGGGUGCCUGGGUAUGGGAGUAUCACAUAGGAUGCCCUUCUUCCAGUCAGCCUGCCUUCAGCUUCCUCAGGCAUGAUCACAACUUCCCAUCAGAGCCUCUUUUUUCCUUUUCCACCACAGAGAAGUGAAACAUGAGAGGGAGAAAGAGCUCAAUAAAUACUGCUUAUCCUCAUUUGUGUAAUCAUCAGUGAUCUACAUACAGAUGGGUGACUAGACAGGGAUGUGAAAGAAAAAAAAAAAACGAAGAAUAUACUAGGUGCUGGGCACAGUGGCUCAUGCCCAUAAUCCCAGCACUUUGGGAGACCAAGGUGGGUGGAUCACCUGAGGUCAGGAGUUUGAGACCAGCCUGGCCAACAUGGCAAAACCCCAUCUCUACUAAAAAUACAAAAAAAUUAGCCAGAUGUGGUGGGAGACACCUGUAAUCCCAGGCGGGAGGCUGAGGCAUGAGAAUCACUUGAAACCAGGAGGUGGAGGUUGCAGUGAGCCAAGAUUGCACCAUUGCACUCCAGCCUGUCUGGUGGAUGGAGCAAGACUCCAUCUAAAAAAAAAAAGAAUAUGCUAGUUGCUAAGCGCUGUUCUUAGAGCUUGUAAUUUAGUGGAGGAAGACAGAUAACCAACAAAGAGACAAUACAUAAAAUACGAAAGGUAAGAAGAGAAUUUUCCGCUGUUUUCUAGGAUGCAUUUUCAGUGCUGAGGUUGUCAAUCACAGUGAUUCUCCAGCCUUACUGAAAAUGUUGAAACAGGUACUGUAGGCAAUUAAAAACAAAAAGAAUAUGUUGAGACAAAAAUUAUACCCCUUUCGCAUUGGACAUGGACGAAGAAGGACGGACACUACUGGGUCAUUGUACUCAGUGGCAGACACUGUUUGAGAGUGGCGUCAACACAGACCAGGAGGGGCCAAGAGAUGAAGAGAGUGAAAUCUGAUCUUGAUUUUCCCAUGGGAGGCCCUGUAGGAAGCCAUUCAUAAAGCCUCCACCUAGUUUGGGUCAGGUUUUCAGUCACUAGCCCAUAAGAGUUCCAACUAGGCUGGGCACAGCAGCUCAUGCCUAUAAUCGCGGUACUUUGGGAGGCCGAGACAGGAGAAUCGCUUGAGCCCAGGAGUUCGAGACCAGCCUGGGUAACACAGCGAGACCCCGCCUCUACAAGAAAUAGAAAAAAUUAGGGGGGCAUGGUAGCACAUGCUUGUAGUCCCAGCUACUUGGGAGGCUGAGGCAAGAGGAUCCCUUGAGCAUGGGAAGUUGAAGCUGCAGUGAGCCUGAUCACACCAUUGCACUCCAGCCUGGGUGACAGAGCAAGACCCUGUCUAAAAAGAGAGAGAGAGAGAGAGAGAAGAACUAAUUAGUAUAUCCAGUGAAGCAGAAUCUCUGGGUGGAAGCUGCAAUCUGCAUUGUUAACUAGGUCCCUAUGUGAAUCUUUUUUUUUUUUUUUUGAGACAGAGUCUUGCUUUGUCACCCAGGCUGGAGUGCAAUGGUACAAUCUCAGCUCACUGCAAACUCCACCUCCUGGGUUCAAGUGAUUCUCCUGCCUCAGCCUCCCAAGUAGCUGGGAUUACAGGCACGUACCACCAUGCCCUAUUAAUUUUUGUAUUUUUAGUAGAGACUGGGUUUCACCAUGUUGACCAGGCUGGUCUCGAACUCCUGACCUCAAGUGAUCUGCCCACCUUGGGCUUCCCAAAGUGCUGGAUUACAGCCAUGAGCCACUGUGCCUGGCCUCCCAUGUGAAUCUGUAUUGAGGAGGUGAAGAAUUUGCUCCAGAACGGGGACAACCAAAAAGCAAACUUUUUCUGUAAAGGGCCAGAUAAUAAAUAUUUUAGGCUUUGUGUGCCAUAGAGGCUCUGUGGCAACUACUCAACUCUGGUACUGUAAUGUAGAUGCAGCCAUAGAUGAAUGGGUGUGGCUGUGUUCUAAUAAAACUUUGUUUACAAAAGCAGGCAGUGGACUAGAUUUGGCUCACUGGCAUGGUGCCCACCCCUGCUCUAGAACUAGAGCUAUAAGCAAACAGAAAACUACCAAACCUGGAAGGGUCACUAAGAUUCAGUAAAGUAUUUUUCCAAAAUCUAUAAAAUCUGAAACCAUUUAAUAGUUGAAAGAAAGAAGCCAAUAAAAUUAUAAGAAGCGCUCAUAUUUCUUGAGGGCUUACUAUGUGCCAGAGGCUAUGCCAAGGGAUGUAUCAUUUAGAAUGCUUUCAUCUCAUAGAACAUCUCAUACACCAAGUAGUUGUUUUUGUUUUUGUUUGAGACAGAGUCUUGCUCUGUCACCCAGGCUGGAGCGCAGUGGUACGGUCACAGCUCACUGCAAGCUCCGCCUCCUGGGUUUACGCCAUUCUCCUGCCUCAGCCUCCCAAGUAGCUGGGAGUACAGGCACCCGCCACCAUGCCUGGCUAAUUUUUUGGCAUUUUUAGUAAAGAUGGGGUUUCACCAGGUUGGCUAGGCUGGUCUCGAACUCCUGACCUGAGGCGAUCCACCAGCUUUGGCCUCCCACAGUGCUGGGAUUACAGGCAUGAGCCACAGCGCCCGGCCCCAAGUAGUUUUAAGAUAGGGUUGAUUCUGUGGUUGGAGUGGCAGUGCUUUCCUGAUUUGUUCAAGGACACAGGUUCUUUCCACCUCAUGCCUCCUCCUUCCUUGGGGCUUGAGCUUUGCCCUCAGGUCACUCCCCUCAUGACCACAAAAUGGUGACUACAGUUACAAGCCACAUAUCCAGAGCAAAUAGUCUUUAGAAGAAACAGAUCAUCUCUUCCUCUGUCUUUUUAGGAUGAAGAGAUCAUUCCCAGAAGCUCCUCCAUACCAGGAUGUUUCCUUUCUGUUUUUUAUUUUUUUGAGACAGGGUCUCACUCUGUCACCCAGGCUGGAGUGCAGUGGUGUAAUAAUAGCUCACUGCAGCCUUGAUCUCCUGGGCUCAAGAGGUCCUCUUGCCUCAGCCUUCCAAGUAGCUGGAACUACAGGCAUGUGCCACCAUGCUCAGCCAAUUUUUAAAAAUUGUUUUUAGAGACAGGGUUUCACUAUGUUGACUAGGCUGGUCUUGAACUUUUGGGCUCAAGCGAUCCUCCCACCUCGGUUUCCCAAAGUGCUGGGAUUACAGGCAUGAGGAACCACACCCGUCCUCCUUUCACGUCUUAAUGGUCAGAAUUUGAUCAUGGGCUCACUCUCAAUUAUUAGAAAGGGGAAUGGAAUUUCCAAGAUUAGUUGAGUAAUGAGGAAUCCUCUCCUGAUCUUGGCUAUGUAGAGGAUAUGGGGGAUGGAAGGGUGUGCCUGUAGAGGCUGUAUGAAUAUCUGAAUAAAACCAGGGCUCUGGUAGGAAGAAAACAUGGGGGCCAGAAAUGGAUAUUGAAUAAGCAACCAAGCGAUAUGACCACAACACAAGUACCAUGACCAGGUGAUAUUAGUUUCCGUGUUUUAGAGAUGAGAAAAUAAGUCAGAGAGGGGAAAGUGACUAGGUCAAGGUCACAAAGCUACUAAAUGAAAGAGACUAGAUUCAGGCCCAGGUCUGUGACUACAGCGCCCACUCCCUCAGCCACUGCACUCAAGUGCUAUGGUGGGAAAGCUGAGUUCAGGAAAGAAGAGAAUAGCUGCAAAGCUUGCCUCAAAAUCAGGUAAACUUGAGCCACUUGUAAAACCUGUGAUGUCGCUGGGCACAGUGGCUUGCACCUGUAGUCCUAGCUACUCAAGAGGCUGAGGAGGGAGGAUCACAUGAGCCCAGGAAUUUGAGGCUGAAGUGAGCUAUGAUCACACCACUGCACUCCAGCCUGGGCAGCAGGGCCAAACUCCAUCUCUAAAAACAAAUAGGCCGGGCACAGUGGCUGACACCUGUAAUCCCGGCAUUUUGCAGGCCAAGGAGCGAGGAUGGGUUGAGCUCAGAAGUUAGAGACCAGCCUGAGCAACAUAGUGAGACCUCGUCUCUAUUAAAACUUAGCCAGGUAUAGUGAUCUGUACCUGUAGUCCCAGCUACUCAGGAGGCUGAGGCAGGAGGAUUGCUUGAGCCAAGGAGGUCAAGUCUGCAGUGAGCUAUAAUCACCACUGCACUCCAACCUUAGUGACAGAGUGAAACCCUGUCUCAAAAAAAUAAAAAUAAAAACAAACAAACAAAAACCCUGUGAUGUCACCAAGCCUCCCUAGCAGGGUGUACCGUUCAGGUUUGUUGUAGAACAAACAACCCCAUAAUGGAGCAAGUAAAAGCACAAUAAUUUCUUUAGCUCACAAUUAUAUGGCUCAGCAAUUUGGGCUGGGCUUCUGGUCUCACCUGGACUCACUCAUGCAUCUUUGGUCAGCUGGGGACUGGCUGGUCUAAGGUCACCCCUGGUGGACUCCUGGGCUGGUUCCACAUGGUCUGUCACCCUUCAGCAGGUUAGGCUGUGCUUGUGCAUAUGGAGGCUGGGCAGGGUGCCAAGAGUGGGAGAGAAAUACCUAAGGCGGCCAGACAUGGUGGUUCACGCCUGUAAUCCCAACACAUUGGGAGGCCGAGGAGGGGCAGAUCAUCUGAGGUCAGGUGUUCGAGACCAGCCUGGCCAACAUGGUGAAACCCCAUCUCUACUAAAAAUACAAAAAUUAGCCAGACAUGGUGGUGCGGGCCUGUAAUCCCAGCUACUCAGAAGGCUGAGGCAGUAGAAUCGCUUGAACCUGGGAGGCGGAGGUUGCAGUGAGCUGAGAUCACGCCACUGCACUCCAGCCUGGGCGACAGAGCCAGACUCCACCUCAAAAGUAAAAAAAAAAGAAAUGCCUAAGUCCUCUUGAGGCCUUGUUUGGAUCUAGGAAAAAUUACUUUUCAAGUGAGGACUGAACUAAAAAAGAAUUUUAUUUUCUCAUUCUACAGAAAGGCAGAUGCAACAGUGGUAAAUGCCCCAUUCCCAUGUUCUCAGUUCAGGGAGGUGUUCAAUAGGUUGGUCUGUUUCACAGCCAACAUCACCUAGGCUCCUCAGGGACAAGUACUCUUAACCAGAGCUAGAAGAUGGGGCUAAAAAACAGGACAUGGAUUCAGUACAGAGAGGUGGAAAGCAGCACCAUGGUCAAUGGAUUGAGACUGGGAUAGGGCCACACAAGGAGAGCAUCUGAAAGCCAAAUAUUUAAACCCUAAGACAAGAUUCCACCCAGUCUAUUUGUGCCUGCCCCAAAACCAAAAAACACAUUCCAUAUGGCAAUCAAGAGACCAAAGCAUAUGUAUACAAACAUACACAUAUAUAUAUGUUUUGUUUUGUUUUGAGACGGAGUCUUACUCUGUCUCCCAGGCUGGAGUGCAGUAGCACAAUCUCUCUGCUCAGUGCAACCUCCACCUCCUGGGUUCAAGCGAUUCUCAUGCCUCAGCCUCCUGAGUAGCUGGGAUUACAGGCCCACACCACCACACCCGGCUAAUUUUUGUAUUUUUAGUAGAGACGGGGUUUCGUCAUGUUGCCCAGGCUGGUCUCAAACUCUUGACCUCAGGUGAUCUGCCCGCCUCAGCCUCCCAAAGUGCUGAGAUCACUGGCGUGAGCCACCACUUCUGGCCAGUGCCAUAUUUUCUACUAUCCUGGUAAAGUAAAUAUUUGUACCAAACCCCACCAAACUUGAAAUGAAUGGAAUGUUCUUAAUUUUCAAGGUGCUAUCUUUAAAGGUCUUCUCCAGAAUGACCUGUGAUAUCUUUAUAGGGGCCAGGGAGUUUCCCCUCGAUAUCAGAAUUUCUUUACUUACAAGAUUAUAAUCUCAUAAGAUUAUAAUCUUACAAUUACUUACAAGAUUCUAUAAUUACUUACAAGAUGAUAAUCUUACAAGAUUCCAUAAUUACUUGCAAGAUUAUAAUCUUAUAAUUACUUACAAGAUUCUAUAAUUACUUACAAGAUUAUCAUCUUGUAAGUAAAGAAAUUCUGAUAUUGAGGGGAAACCCCCUGGCCCCUAUAAAGAUAUCACAGGUCAUUCUGGAGAAGAUCUUUAAAGAUAGCACCUUGAAAAUUAAGAACAUUCCAUUCAUUUCAAGUUUGGUGGGGUUUAACACAAAUAUUUACUUUACCAGGAUAGUAGAAAAUGUGGCGCUGGCCGGGCACAGUGGUGCACUCCUGUGAUCUCUGCACUUUGGGAGGCCGAGGUGGGCAGAUCACGAGGUCAGGAGCUCAAGACCAGCCUGGCCAAGAUGGUGAAACACUGUCUUUACUAAAAAUACAAAAAUUAGCCGGGCGUGGUGGUGGGCACCCGUAAUUCCAGCUACUCAGGAGGCUGAGGCAGAGACUUGCUUGAACCCAGGAGGUGGAGGUUGCAGUAAGCUGAGAUCUUGGUCACUGCAUUCCAGCCUGGGCGACAGAGUGAGACUCUGUCUCAAAACAAAAACAAAAACAAAAACAAAAACAAAAACACUGUGGUCUAAUCUAUAUGUCUUUUUUCUGAAUUCAUUUGAACUCAUUCACUGCUAUCACUAACAGUUUAAAGGCUGGGCGUGGUGGCUCAUGCCUGUAAUCCCAGCACUUUGGGAGGCCAAGGCAACAUGGUGAAAUCCUAUCUCUACGAAAAAUAUAGAAAAUUAGCCGAGUGUGGUGGUGCACACCUGUGGUCCCAGCUACUCCAGGAGGUGGAGGUGGGAGAUCACUAGAGCUCAGGAAGUGAAGCCUGCAGUGAGCUGAAAUCGCGCCACCAGGAGUAAGACCCUAUCUCAAAAAAUCAAAACAAAAUAAAACACAGUUUAAAUACUGUAUGUAGGCAUUUACAUUUUGGAGUUAAUUUCUUUUCUUUCUUUCUUUUUUUUUUUUUUGAUUCAGAGUUUUGCUCGGUCGCCUGGGCUGAAGUAUCGCCAUUUUGGCUCACUGAAACCUCUGCCUCCCGGGUUCAAGCAAUUCUCCUGCCUCAGCCUCCUGAGUAGCUGCAAUUACAGGCAUGCACCACCAUGCCAGGCUAAUUUUUGUAUUUUUAGUAGAUAUGGGGUUUUAUCAUGUUGGCCAGGCUGGUCUCGAACUCCUGACCUCAGGUGAUCCACCCGCCUCGGCCUCCCAAAGUGCUGGGAUUACAGGCAUGAGCCACUGCGCCUGGCCUUUGGAGUUAAUUUCUAAGAAAAGGCAGUGGGCACAAGUAAGUUGUAGUUCAUCUUAUGAACUCAUUCAGAAAUUUACAGCCUUUUUUAAAAAACAGAGAGUGGGUUCUUGCUCUAUUGCCAAGGCUGGGGUGCAAUUGCAUAAUCAUAGCUCACUGCAGCCUCGAUCUCCUGGGUUCAAGCCAUACUCCCUGCCCCAGGCUUCCUAGUAUCUAGGAUUACAGGCAUAUGCCACCAUGCUAAUUUAUUUAUUUAUUUAUUUUUAGAGGAGAAGACAGAGGGAAUCUAGCUGUUACCCAGGCUGGUCUCUAAUUCCUAGCCUCAAACGAUCCUCCUUCCUCAACCUCCUGAGUAGCUAUUAUCGGCAUGAGCCAUUACCCCUGGCUGAAAUUUAUAGUCUUUAUGUAUGAAUUCAUGAACAGCAUGAAGCUUGGCCAAUAGCAUUUCUGAAAGUGGAACUUGGCUCAUGUGAAUGCUCAUAACAAAAGAGAGAUUGCCAAAACAAGCAACUUUCUCUAAAUAGAGGCGAAAUAAUAGUCUUACAGAGUAAAUCUUCACAAUGUAAAAACAUAGAGUCAGUUC
rnacentral:lncRNA from 1 species